AUAGAAGCUUGCUUCUAUUCGGUUAGCGGCGGACGGGUGAGUAACACGUGGGCAACCUGCCCUGUAGACGGGGAUAACACCGAGAAAUCGGUGCUAAUACCGGAUAAUACGGAAUGUCGCAUGACGUUUCGUUGAAAGGCGGCGCAAGCUGUCGCUACAGGAUGGGCCCGCGGCGCAUUAGCUAGUUGGUGAGGUAACGGCUCACCAAGGCGACGAUGCGUAGCCGACCUGAGAGGGUGAUCGGCCACACUGGGACUGAGACACGGCCCAGACUCCUACGGGAGGCAGCAGUAGGGAAUCUUCCGCAAUGGACGAAAGUCUGACGGAGCAACGCCGCGUGAGCGAAGAAGGCCUUCGGGUCGUAAAGCUCUGUUGUUAGGGAAGAACAAGUAGCGCAGUAACUGGCGUUACUUUGACGGUACCUAACGAGGAAGCCACGGCUAGCUACGUGCCAGCAGCCGCGGUAAUACGUAGGUGGCAAGCGUUGUCCGGAAUUAUUGGGCGUAAAGCGCGCGCAGGCGGCUUCUUAAGUCAGGUGUGAAAGCCCACGGCUCAACCGUGGAGGGCCAUCUGAAAACUGGGGAGCUUGAGUGCAGGAGAGGAGAGCGGAAUUCCACGUGUAGCGGUGAAAUGCGUAGAGAUGUGGAGGAACACCAGUGGCGAAGGCGGCUCUCUGGCCUGUAACUGACGCUGAGGCGCGAAAGCGUGGGGAGCAAACAGGAUUAGAUACCCUGGUAGUCCACGCCGUAACGAUGAGUGCUAGGUGUUGGGGAGUCCACCUCCUCAGUGCCGCAGCUAACGCAAUAAGCACUCCGCCUGGGGAGUACGGCCGCUAGGCUGAAACUCAAGGAAUUGACGGGACCCGCACAGCGGUGGAGCAUGUGGUUAAAUCUAAGCAAC
rnacentral:rRNA from 1 species